CAAAAGGUAGUUUAAAUAAAAUUCUAAUUUUGGGGAUUAGAGAUAAAGAAUUUUCUUUUCUUUUGA
rnacentral:tRNA from 1 species